rnacentral:lncRNA from 1 species
CAGCAGAAGAGAGUGAAUCUCAGGCUAAAGAAGAACUGUUAACAGACCUCAAGCAAGUUAAACAGAUAAAAGAAUCAUCUACUGAAACACUUCCUGAUCAGGCACCAGGAACUUUACGUCCACCUUCACAGGAUUUGCCUUGUUUUCCUGAAAGUGGGGGCUCUAAAUUGAAGCUGUUUUCUUCAAGUGUUCCUCUCUUGUCAAAACCAAAUUUACCAUUGCUUAACAUUUUGGAGGAAGUAAAGAAUGAGCAAGAAUUACACAAGGCCGUAUCAUCGUCAUCGUUAUCAUUAUUAGAGACUGUAUCCUCAGAUGUGCUACAAGUGAAGGGCAAAGCAGUCUUGAAGACUAAACCAUUUGAAGUUCAGCAGAAGUUACCAGAUCACCAGCUACAACACCCUCUGUCUUGGCUUUCCACAUGGACUCCAAAGAUAAAAGAGCAACAUUACCCAGUUAUGCAUCACCUGUGUACUGCUUCUCCUAGUUUUUCAUUGCCCAUUGAUCUACAACUGGCUUCUAGAGUAUAUCAUACUUUUAGUAGAAGAGGCCAUGAUAUUUUAUUUACAAAAAAAGAACCACACCAUGAAGAGGAAAAACUAUUCUACUCAAAACAUAUUUUUGGGGGGGAUCAAAGUGAAAGAAGAAGGUAUGGAUCUGUUUUCAGUUUUGCUGUUAUUGUAACUUUUCUGAAGACUUUACUUUUAAUAUGUUGUUAAGGUGUGUUUUGCAAAAUAGUUUUAUUCCUAGAUCCUGCUUUAGGC